rnacentral:tRNA from 1 species
ACCACUUAAGUGUUAUAGACCUGCACGUCGGGCUUUCAAACCGAAAGAGCUAAUAAAGCAAUUGGUC